UACGUAGGGGGCAUGCGUUGUCCGGAUUUAUUGGGCGUAAAGAGCGUGUAGGCGGCCAUACAGGUCAGCUGUGAAAACUCGAGGCUCAACCUCGAGACGUCGGUUGAAACCGUAUGGCUAGAGUCCGGAAGAGGAGAGUGGAAUUCCCGGUGUAGCGGUGAAAUGCGCAGAUAUCGGGAAGAACACCGGUGGCGAAGGCGGGUCUCUGGGCCGAUACUGACGCUGAGGAGCGAAAGCGUGGGGAGCGAACAGG
rnacentral:rRNA from 1 species